rnacentral:pre_miRNA from 1 species
UUGAUACUCCCUCCGUCCGAAAAUACUUGUCAUUAAAAUGGACAAAAAAGAAUGUAUCUAAAACUAAAAUAUAUCUAGAUACAUCUUUUUUAUUUAUUUUGAUGAUAAAUAUUUCCGGACGAAGGGAGUACUAG